CCGAAUUUUGUGUAUUAAUGCAAAUAGGGAAGGAUUUAAAAUCCCCCCACUCCCAAAAACUCAAACAAGCCUCCUUAAAUAAAGUGCUCACCGAGUAAAUACUAAGCAUGUACAAUCAUUAAUCAAUAUAAUGUGGGUUUUAGCCCUUUGUGUAAGAUUUGAUUUUAAAUAUUGUUGCCUCCCUUUCCAAGAUGACCUGCGCACGCGUA